GGGCCCGCACAAGCGGUGGAUGAUGUGGAUUAAUUCGAUGCAACGCGAAAAACCUUACCUACGCUUGACAUGUCCGAAAGCCUGAAGAGAUUUAGGUGUGCUCGAAAGAGAAUCGGAACACAGGUGCUGCAUGGCUGUCGUCAGCUCGUGUCGUGAGAUGUUGGGUUAAGUCCCGCAACGAGCGCAACCCUUGUCAUUAGUUGCUACAUUUAGUUGGGCACUCUAAUGAGACUGCCGGUGACAAACCGGAGGAAGGUGGGGAUGACGUCAAGUCCUCAUGGCCCUUAUGCGUAGGGCUUCACACGUCAUACAAUGGUCGGUACAGAGGGUCGCCAACCCGCGAGGGGGAGCCAAUCUCAGAAAGCCGAUCGUAGUCCGGAUCGUAGUCUGCAACUCGACUACGUGAAGUCGGAAUCGCUAGUAAUCGCGGAUCAGCAUGUCGCGGUGAAUACGUUCCCGGGCCUU
rnacentral:rRNA from 1 species